GCUCUUCCUAACCUUCCAAAACUCUGAAGAGUUUCUCCAUUAUCGUUGGCUUGUUACGCUCCAAAGCUUUCAACAUUCCAGACUCCAGCCAAAAUUUCCAUAUUAUUCCAGGUAAAUGUUAAUCCCUGUGUUUACCAUACCCGUGCUAGCUUAAUCUUGUCUAAUUUCGGGGUAGAAUUGACCGUUCUCUGACCUAGGGGAUAAGGAGAAAAAAAAAACAAGCUUUCUAGUGUUCUUCAGGCUUGUUGCUGUGAGUUCUUGUUUGAUCGUUUCGCUCAGCACACCAUUUUGUUUGAUUUUGAAGCCUUUGAAUGGAUCGAGUUUUUUGGUUUCCAAAGAUGCAUUUCUUUUUCUCUUCUCUGCAGAUGGUUCUUAGCCCUGCAAAAUAAUUCUCGUUUCGUCAAUCGUCGUGGCGAUUAGUUGUUAGUUUUCGCUGCUAUUUGGAUGUGGAAGAGGGAAUGGUUUUUUACCAUAUAUGAGAUGCAGGGCAUAACGAACUGGAACUUAAAUUUUGAUCAUUUUGUUUAGUUCAAAAAACAUAUGUGGUUUUGUUGGUUAUGUUUUCGAUUUUAUCAGCGAGAGAAGAUGCCCUGACGAUCUGAUUCUCAAGGUCUUAGGCUACGAGGCUUCCUUUUUAAUUUGUGAUUGAUUGUAUAGGCUUUGAAGUAUCAAAAAUUAUUUAACAUCUAUGUAAUGUAACCACCAAACUGUGGUGUUUUCUCUACUCCUCUUUAAGUGAAUGGCUUGACAAAUGUUAUCCUUAGAAGAAACGUAAUAUGUUCAUUAGAUUAGCAUGAACUAGCAUUCUAGGAAAACCAUUCUAGUAGUAUGUUUUAUGGUGUAAAUUGUUAAUUACUCCUAGUCCCUAAAGGCUUUGACAUGAAUACAAUCAGUAAAGCAUCAUGGUGAGCAAAGAAAUUUCUAGCGUACUCCCUCCGUCCCGUAAAAAACGAAUCUAGAACUAGAUAUGACAUAUUCUAAUACUACGAAUCUGGAACAUAUGUAUACCCAGAUUCGUAAGACUAGAUAUGUCACAUCCGGUAUUAAGUUGAUUUUUUAUGUAACAGAUGGAGUAUGUGCUAACGAUAUCCUAACAAUCAAAAAUGGUAAAAAAAAAUAUAUUUAUUAAUUUAACUAUCCACUGUCAACUUCAAUGUGACGCUGAAAAAAAUUAAAAGUACGAAAUUUUGAAACAAUAAUAUUAUUAUAUUAGUUUUAUGAAAAUGAUAUCGGUAUAUCAUGUCUAGAACUUCCAGCUCAUGAGCUUUAACUGCCUAUUGUUGGGUGAUUUCUAAUAAAAAAUCACCCAGAUUUUUUCAACUCUUAGAUUUACAUUUAACGG
rnacentral:sRNA from 1 species